rnacentral:lncRNA from 1 species
UUUUUUAGACAGUCUCAAGAUUAAGUAUGUUGAUUCCUAUGUCUGUGGUUUAUUGCUUUUCAAUAGUCAGCAAUCAUGCACGCCACGUAUUUACGGAUAGACAUGGACCAGGACCUGGUGUCUUGUGAAACCUUCAACUUAGAAUUUUAUUGACGGUAUUUGUUGGACAGUUUUCCAUGAGAUUAAUUAGAUACCUAUGCUGAAAUUUGUUAGUUUGUAAUUCAAGUCUGAAGUUCUCAUAUUCUUAUCGUCUUCAGCCUCUGGCCCUCUUGGUUCUGAAGUUGUUUCUGACUCUCUUAGAGGCUGUUGUAGCAAGUUUGAGUUUUGAACUUAGGUUCUGAACUAGCAUAGCCUGAACCUCUGGUUCAGUUAUGUUUUUCCGUUUUCUUAAUUAGAAGUUAACGCUUAGUUAGUUGUUACAGCGGACAUAGUUUGUUAAUUAGUUGCUUUUGUACACAUAUCUAACAAGUUAUCCAAAAGUAUAUAUGACUAACUCUAUUUCGGAUUUUCAAACUUUAUAGGCUUUUCGUGUUGAUUGUAAUUUUGGUUGUGCUCCUAAAAUCAUUGAAGUCUUGUGU